rnacentral:rRNA from 1 species
UACGUAGGGCGCAAGCGUUGUCCGGAAUUAUUGGGCGUAAAGAGCUCGUAGGCGGCUUGUCACGUCGGGUGUGAAAGCCCGGGGCUUAACCCCGGGUCUGCAUUCGAUACGGGCUAGCUAGAGUGUGGUAGGGGAGAUCGGAAUUCCUGGUGUAGCGGUGAAAUGCGCAGAUAUCGGGAGGAACACCAAUUGCGAAGGCAGCGCGCUGGGACGAUACUGACGCUGAGGCGCGAAAGCGUGGGGAGCAAACAGG